UACGGGGGGAGCAAGCGUUGUUCGGAUUUACUGGGCGUAAAGGGCGCGUAGGCGGCCUCUGCAAGUCGACUGUGAAAUCUCCGGGCUUAACUCGGAACGGUCAAGUGAUACUGUCGGACUAGAGUACAGAAGGGGCAACUGGAAUUCUCGGUGUAGCGGUGAAAUGCGUAGAUAUCGAGAGGAACACCUGCGGCGAAGGCGGGUUGCUGGGCUGAUACUGACGCUGAGGCGCGAAAGCCAGGGGAGCGAACGGG
rnacentral:rRNA from 1 species